ACUAUUCACUACCAGUCGGUAGCUGGGUAGCCACAGAAGGAAUGAAAAGUGCAGCCCAGGGCACUACUCACUACCAAGCCGUUAGCAGGUAGCCACAAAAGCUCCCGGGGAGACCAGUUCCGACUAAGAAUGGCAUGAAUGAAACUUCUACCGCCUAGUCCCCUGUUGUUAAUUAAGCCAUAGGAUUUGAUAUGGAAUGAGAAGAAGUCAAUGGAAGCACAGAACAAUCACAACACUUCCAUCAUAAUGCCCGGAAAAAGCUUCAAAUUCAUAUAUAUAUUCUUAGCCUGUCCAUUGCCCAAGUGUACUAAAGCAACAUUCUAAGUCUGGAACACCUUAAGGUACAGAUGAUAGCAUGCAGUGCACAAGAAGAUGCAAAAAAAGCACAUACCUUAAACCCACCAGGUGAAAAUGAAGCAGAGAAUGAACAUCCUAAACAAAUAUGUCACGUUUCCAAAAUGGAUUAUUUGUUUAUUUUGUGAUGGAGAAUAUUAUAAUAGUGAAAACUGGACAUCGGUAUACAGAAAACAACAGGCACACACAGCAAACAAGUCAACCAUCAGCUACUAGCAUGCAAGCACUUGUAGCAUAUCCUGAUAUUUUUGGUACAGGAUUGAAUGCAAUGAGAUUGAUUUGACUGAGAGAAACAGGAAAUCAACAGAGAAUGAAAGAUUUUCAACUGUGAAAUGAGAGAAGCUUACUUACCUAUGAACCUUUAAUAGAAAAGAAUAGGCUUGGAAUGAUGCAACUGGAUUCCUGGAGAUCUUCAGGAUCUAAGAAGAGAAGAGAAGAGAAACUCACAACAUGCUUUGAUGAAGGUUCAGAACCAUUCCUCAGUGGGAAAGAUGUUGCUAUGGCUUUGUGUCCCAGCAGUAUUCAUCAUAUAUGAAGAAUACUGGACUCCGAAAAGAUCUUAUUCUCAGUCUUACCAAAAGGCAAAGAUGUGCUUGUUAAGGAAAGAGAACAAAGCAGAUUGGAGAACAGACAUAGCCAUUUUCUUAAUAUCCAUUGUUGUUUUAUUUGCACAUGUGCCUUAAUAUUGUAUUUUUUCUUAAGUGAGUGCUGAGGCUUGGUGAUUAAAGUAGCUUAUAUGCAAGCAGAAUGUUUAUUUAUUACAUUUUGGGCUUAGUGGGCAUUGUCAGUCUUAAAGGUGCAGAAGGAGAAGGAAAUCCAAUAAUAAAGAGUAACUGCAUAAUCUGAUUGUUUUCACAAAUUCAAAGCCAGGAAAGCAAUAUUGAUUAACAACUUUGUCACAACGCUAGAGCGCUGCUUACCUAUAACAUCCCCCAUCUCCUGUCAUAAAACCUGCACCUUGCAAACUGCUACUAAGAGAAUUUAUCAUUUAUUAACUCUAUCAGACCAUUAAGAACACCAGUUGGUUACAUUGCAUAAAGCUAAUAGUUGCAUAUUACUGUCAGAACAGCACAACUCUUUAACGUUUAAACUACUCUUCAAUGGGAUACCGUUCCUCCCUGUCCUUGGCUUCCACUUUGGUACCAGAAACACAAUCAGCUCUGUCUGAGCCAAUACUAACAGGGGCAUCUUACUGGCCCACCCAUAAUUCAAGAAAGCACUUGUCGAAAACCCUUUU